UUGUGAGAGGACUACUCCAAUCAGCCUGCCAUUGUGUCUCUGUUUCCUCCUUGAGCCAACAUCUUGGCCCACUGUACAGCCUAUUGGGUCCAAGAAUUGAACUACGAAAUCAAGCACACCGACAGUCUGAGAAUAUUCAGAAGAUUUUCAGCCAUCCAUGUCAUCUCCCAGGGUAGGUACCUGUUUGGCUAGGCUCAUAAUCUGCUAGAGGUUAUUAUUAUUGUGUUCCUGUGUGUAAUAGCUACAAGUUCCUCUGGCAACUCUCUAAGCAGCGACAGAUAGCCUGUACUUUCCCACUGUCCUGAUUCAUUCUAAUCCUAUGUCAAACAUAUAAAUGGUUGCAACUUCUGAGUGGACAGUACUUCUGGCUGACUGCAGUGACUAUGCAUCCCAUUUCUGAGAUAUCUGAAAAGCUCCCCCA
rnacentral:lncRNA from 1 species